CCGAAAGAAAGCAGAAAGGCCGGCCGGGCGCGGUGGCUCACGCCUGUAAUCCCAGCACUUUGGGAGGCCGAGGCGGGUGGAUCACGAGGUCAAGAGAUGGAGACCAUCCUGAUCAACAUGGUGAAACCCUGUCUCUACUAAAAAUACAAAAAAUUAGCUGGGCAUGGUGGCGCGUGCCUGUAAUCCCAGCUACUCGGGAGGCUGAGGCAGGAGAAUUGCCUGAAGCCAGGAGGCGGAGGUUGCGGUGAGCCGAGAUCGCAGCAUUGCACUCCAGCCUGGGUAACAACAGUGAAACUCCGUCUCAAACAAAAAAAAAAAAGACAGCAGAAAGGCCAAGUGGAGGAAAUGUGAAAUGUCAGUGGAAGGGGAAAAAAGCAGAGAAGGGAAAAAGCCACGGCAGCUGCUGGCCUCAGUAGGAGCAAACCAGCGCAGGGGAAAGACGCAGGCCUCCACCGACAGGCAGACAGCUCCCGAAGGAAGCAGACAGAGAAAAUGCAAGGAAAAAAAAUAAGGGAAAAGGCAAAGAUCAAAGAAGAAGGCAUGAGUAAUGACACACGCCACAGUGAUCUGCACAGCGGCAGGGCUGAGUAUGAGACCGUCUGCUGCUGAGGCCACCUUUCUGCAGGCACCGCGUCAGAGCAGGCCAGCCCUGUGUGGUCACAUAUCCUUCUGAAAAUAUCCACCUGCUAUUCUUUCAACAGGAAAAUUUAUGGAUUCUCAUUCUCGCAUCAUCAAUCUUAACUUGGAGGCUUACAAAAACUUGUUUUAAAGUAAAAGCAAAUUAAAAACUAGAUGAACCACAGGUGAUGGUUAAUUUUAUGUAUCCACCUGGCUAAGCUGCAGUGCCCAGAUAUUUGGCUGGACGUUAUUCUAGACGUUUUUGUGAGACUACUUUUCAUAGAUGAGAUUAACGUUUAAAUCAGUAGACUCUGAGUAAAGCUGAUUUGUGUCCACAGUGUGGGUGAGCCUCAUCCAAUCAGCCAAAGGUCUUCUAAAGACUGAGGUCCCUGAACAAGAAGGAACUCUCCCGCCCCCGGCCUUCCAACCAAACUGCAGCUCUUUCCGGGCCUCCAGCGCGCCGGCCCAUCCUGCAGACUGUGGACGUGCCAGGCUGCACAAUUGCAUCAGCUGAUUCCCUAGAAUAAGUCUUCCUCCCUCCUUCUUUCUCUCUGUACACACACACACACACACACACACACACAGAGUUGCUUCUUUUUCUCUAGAGAACCCUGACUAACACUGUAACUAUAGGAAAAAUAGUUAUUUUUCCUAUAAAACAGUUUGAGAUUUUUCGGUGGCUGACACUUCAUUAUCCACAUGACUUUGGCUCUUUUUCCUUUCUCAGUGUUUUUUUAAUUUCCCGGAGAUCUGGGUCACCCUGUGGGCGUGGGUAGCUUGGGAACCAUCAGGCGGUAUGUUCCAAAAGAGGCUUGGUGUUGAGGGCGGCUGUCCCAUCAC
rnacentral:lncRNA from 13 species